AUUCUCCACCCUUGAAUGAGUAGGUAAAGGGAAAAUCUCCCAAUAUUUAAUCCCCACCAUUCAUUUUCCCUAACUUAAGAGGUAAGUUUUGACUAAAGUAACUUAAGUCUUUAUUUCUCCUCAAAACUGUUGGCUUCUUCAACCAAAAAAAAAAAAAAAAAGAAAAAAAAACAAGUCUUCUUCCUUCUUCUCCAAGCCGAUGCCCUCCAUCUCUCCAUUUCUUUUUCUCUUCUUUUUCCUUUCAUCUUGAAGCUCAAGAGACCAAGAUAUUUUCCUUCUCAUCUCCAAGCCAUGCGACCCACAAGGAAGAGAGGAAAGGUUUCCUUCUUCCCCAAGCCAUGCAUACCCACUCUCCAUACCCAUUUUUAGUUUGCUUCCAAGCUUGUGUUUAGAUCCUUGUUUUCAUUUUUCCAAAGGAAAAAAUUUGAAGGUAUUGAUCGGGAGAUUGAGGAGAUGGGCACUACCGAAGAGAGAGGGGCCAAUGCUUAGUAGUCCCUUGUUGGUUCGGUUCUUUUGGUGAUGGCUUAUGGUUUAUAUGUUUUGAGGAUGCGUCUCAUGUGAGGACAUUUAUUUGAAUUACCAUUUAGAAAAUGUACCUUCGGGUACGAUGUAAAUUUUAUGAUGGGGUUAUGGUAAUAGUUUAACUUCUAUGAUGGGCGACGGUAACACCUCAUACUUUAAGUUAACUUCAUUUUUGUAUGAACUGUAGGGACUUACUUAAAACUGGUUAUGUUAGAUGAAUGAAUGAUGGACAAUGAGAGUCCUUUAUGAAUGAAUGUUAAAUCGAA